AUACGGAGGGUGCAAGCGUUACUCGGAAUCACUGGGCGUAAAGCGCGCGCAGGCGGCUUGAUAAGUUGGAUGUGAAAGCCUACGGCUCAACCGUAGAACUGCAUCCAAAACUGUCAGGCUAGAGUGUGGGAGAGGAAGAUGGAAUUAGUUGUGUAGGGGUAAAAUCCGUAGAGAUAACUAGGAAUACCAAAAGCGAAGGCAAUCUUCUGGAACACUACUGACGCUGAGGCACGAAGGCGUGGGGAGCAAACAGGAUUAGAAACCCGAGUAGUCC
rnacentral:rRNA from 1 species